rfam:Ictidomys tridecemlineatus contig014815, whole genome shotgun sequence.
GGGGAUAUAGCUCAGUUGGUAGAGUGCUUGCCUUACAUGCACAGGUCCUGAGUUUAAUUCUCAGCACCCUUU